rnacentral:rRNA from 1 species
GAUGAACGCUGGCGGCGUGCUUAACACAUGCAAGUCGAACGGAAAGGCUCCUGCUUGCAGGGGUACUCGAGUGGCGAACGGGUGAGUAACACGUGGGUGAUCUGCCCUGCACUUCGGGAUAAGCCUGGGAAACUGGGUCUAAUACCGGAUAGGACGAUGGUUUGGAUGCCAUUGUGGAAAGUUGUUCGGUGUGGGUUGAGCUCGCGGCUUAUCAGCUUGUUGGUGGGGUAAUGGCCUACCAAGGCGCAGACGGGUAGCCGGCCUGAGAGGGUGUACGGCCACAAUGGGACUGAGAUACGGCGCAGACUGCUACGGGCGGCAGCAGUGGGGAGUAUUGCGGAAUGGGGGCAAGCCUGAUGCAGCGACGCCGGGUGGGGGAUGACGGCCUUCGGGUUGUAAACACCGUUCGCUAGAGACGAAGCGCAAGUGACGGUACCUGGAGAAGAAGCACCGGCUAACUACGUG